GUCAAAAUAUGAAUUGGAAGUCACUCUUACAUGUUUAUAGGAAUAAUAUUUCUACAGUCUGGUAAGAGUUUUUACUACAUAUUAUCAUACCAUGGAUGUUUUGACUAAUCUCAACAAGAUAAUCAUCAAUAUCAGCUACUGUAAUACAACGCCUCUAAAGUCCUGCUUAAUGCAAACCUUCUAAAAAUAAACUCCCUGCAGUUUCAUCUUUCUUUCUGAUUCUAAAAAGGUGUAAUUCAUAUCUUUUUUCGGCUCUUACAGAACGUUGGUUCAUUUUAAAACUCUAGUUUUUCUGACUCUAAUGUCCUCCCUCCCUCCAGCUGGUUACCGUCCCCCCCCAGUCUGGAGCUGAUGGUGCCCACCCAGCCUCCUGUCCCGGGGCUGGGGGGGCCCACUCUGGUGUGCCUAGCUAAGGGCUUCCACCCGGCCGGGGCCGCCCUGUCCUGGUCCGAGGACGGAGCCUCUGUGAGGGGCGAGGAGGUCCAGGCGGGCGUGGCCCAGCGGCAGCCUGAUGGAAGCUACUCCCUUAGCAGCGUCCUCCUGCUGCCCUCCACAAGGUGGCGCUCAGGACACACCUUCACCUGCCAUGUGAGCCACUCUGCUCUCAGCAGCCCGCUGAGCAAGAGUAUGAGCAGCCAGCAGUGCUCCCUCUGACAGAGGACGAGAAGAUACAGGGAGCGCUACAGGAGGACGACAUGAGGAGAAAUAGAGUAGAGUACGCAACCUUUUAGCAGCUUAGUUGGCCUGAGAUCCAGGCUCAUGUCCUUCAGCUCCGAGUGAAAUACUUCACCGUGUUUUAAUGCUUUACUGUGUUCAAUAAAACUGCUUGAUCAUGACCCAUCACUGUCUUUUUUAAUCCCUGGGGGAGUUAAAGGAACUGAAGUUAAGAUUCAAGGUUUGCAAAGAGAGUAGAAGGAGCAGAAGGGAGCAAGAUUCUGAAACACGACAAUGAAAAACAUCCCCUCCCUCUCUGCAUCAAUCCUCCCUACAGUUCUCCUCCAUUGAGAAGUGUUGCAUUUAAAGGGCAACACCAGUCUGGGUGGUCAAACCACCCCAACCAUCUCUCCUGGCUUC